AAACAAGAGAAACGGGGGACAGAAACCUGACAGUGUUCUCUGAAGUUGGAUGCACUUGAAUAUCAAAGGUUUGACAACAGCACAUCCUAAGAAAAUUUCUUCUGAUCUCCUAUGCAAUAAUAUCUGUUUAUCUUUCCGUCUACUGAGAGAAGCAGAAUUUGAAAUGGCAAACAUGCACACCAGGGAACAGAAAGAAGCUUCAAUCAAUAACUGGAAUCAAAACCACCAUGAAAAUCUGGAUCCAGAUGCUCUUCACUCUAUUGCUAUAGAAUAAACUCUUCCACAUACAAUUAGUCUCCAGCUAUAAAUAUUUGUCUCUUUAGAUCCAUUUUGUGUUAUCCUUCAGAAAGUAUACCUGUAAGACAUCAGGAACUACUCUGAAAAUCCACCUAUACACAAGGCCUAUAUGGGACUCUUUUAAUGAUGUUUGUGGUAGAUUGGAUCCAAGUUUGUACAGUUAUGAGUUGGUAGUAAAAAUAAGUAAAGCUUGUUAACAAUUCACACCAUGUGGACUGAAAGAAAGUUCCCUAAAAAAAAAAAGCACUCUUGUCUGAGUUUCAUAAUAUGAACAGGGAUAAAAGCAGUAGCAAAAUAAGCAAGUAUGUUUCUAAUUGUGACCUUUAGCAAUAAGUAAAAAGCGGAUGAGGUAAACCACUAAUGAAACCAGUAGAUUUUGGAACAAUGACUAGUUUCUGUAUUAGCUUUCCAUAUGUGUUGAUUCAAUUAGGGCUUCAUCAAACCUUUCUUCUGAAUUGUCAUUUGGCUUUUUCUAUGGUCACAUAAUUACAGAUUGUUGUAGAUUUACAUAAAUUUCACAGGUAAAACUGUUUCUUAAGCAUGGAAUUAAAUGAAUCUAUAUCUUAACUGUACCUUUAUGUCACUCCAAAAUAUCUCACUUAGGGAGUUUGUAAAUAUUUGGAUCUUCAUUUCCUGAAAGGAAAUGCAUCAAGCAACCAUCUUCAGCUCACUGAAACAGGACCAUUAAGUUCAGGCAUGAGUAAAAAUUUUUCUAGGUCCUGUCUACUGAGUCAGGAUCCUAGAUUCUGAAUGUCUCCAGAAAAGCACAGAUUUACAGACUCGGUAACAUUAGAGCUAGUAAGUAUUUUACCACAGAGAUACUUAAAAAAGAGCAGAGGCAAAAAAAGCAAAAACUCCUAACCCUGUACCGUGUCUGUAUAGUGCAUACUAUAAAAAGUAUAUAUAUAUAUAACCUUACACACUUCAAAGAGGAGAAUGAAAUAGCCUUUAACACAGCACUUUCACUGCUGUUAAGCAGGAAAGUUGCUUGAGCCUUCAUGAAAGACGAUUUGACAUUGACCCUGUCCUGGCAAAUUCUGUUGCGUUAGUAAGUUGGCAUUUCCUAAAGAAACGUUUUCAGAAGGUUUCUAGUUAGAACAACAAACUGUAUUACAGGUUAUAGGCACAACUCCUACCAAUUUCAGCAGGAGUUGGAAGUGUCCAUCUCUACACUUAAGAAUGAAGAAAUAAAAGUGCUGGAAUUUUGUAAUUUACUUUUGUUGCACAUGUAGCCCUCCUGCCAGGUGUUAGUGGUAGUAACCAGGACUGGGUUCAAUAACAUGUCUAAGGGACUCCCUCUAAAAUAAAUAUAAAUGGUGGCUUGGUCCCCCACCUAAAACACCAACAUUUAGGAAUUUAAUAAUUUAACCUCUAACAGGUGUUCCUUCUCCCAUUGCAAGUAAGCAGGAGUUCUGAGAAUAUGAAACCACAAAAAACUUUUAUUUGGGAAAAUAUAGUAAGUAUAUAGUCUCAAAUAGUAAGGAAAACCCACAGAGCAUGUUGGGGGUAUGACCAGCUUCACAGUUCCCUCUGUUAGUCACACAGCUCCUUAUGCUGUAACACUCUUUCCAAUGGCAAAGUAACCAAGCAUCAGUUGGGACCUCAGGUGAUGUUACUCUACAACACUUUGUCUUUAUGAAAGAUCUGCACUACUCUUGUCACGGUAUCAGUUUGGGGUUUUGUUUAUUUGUUUGAUAAUUUGUUUUAAUUUUUUUGCUUUGGUUUUGGUUUUUUGUUGUUUUUGGUGGGUUGGUUGGUUGAUUUGUUUGUUUGUUGUUUUUUUGUUUGGUUUGUUUUAAACCCAAAAGCAGAACAUAGACCUGCUGGAAAAAGUCCAGAGGAGGCCAUGCAGAUGAUCAGAGGACUGGAGCACCUCCAGUAUGAAGACAAGCUGAGGGAACUACACGAUCCUUAGGUUCCCUUCCAUCCCAAAACAUUCUGUGAUUCUAUGUCAUGUAACAUUUAGGGUGUUGCUUUUUGGUGUUGGAUGCUGCUUCUAGUCUCCUCCUGUAAAUUCAUAUCCUACAUAUUGACCAGUGAAGAACCUGUACACCACUGCCAUCGUUUCCUGCUAAAAAAAUUUUACAUAAAGAAAUGGAUAAUUACCAACAAAUAAAACAAAUAGAAAAAUACUUGUUUCUCUAUAAGAAUGGAGGAUUUGUUAAGCUAUAAAAUAAUGUUCUAUUUUAGCAAAUAUAGGUUAGCAGAACUGUAUUGCAUGUUCUACUGAGUUUGUUUUGUUUUUUUUAAUUUCUGUUAGGUUUUUUCAAAUCUUCAUUAAUUUUCUGAAAAAUGGACAGUGACAAUAUUAAACAUUAUUGUAUGUUACAGUGGAAAAAUUCAAAGGAAAGAGAAGUAAAAAAUUGAGAAAUAGAGGAUAUUUUGAGAAAUUAGAACUAACAGUCAAGGAAUUGUAAAAUAAAGUUCAGUUAGACAUGAAUUCUACUGCACAAAGGGAAAAUUAAUCAGACACCCCAAUCACUUGAAAAGAAAGAAUAAUGAAACAGUACAUUUCAAAGGUGUUGGAAUCAUAUAGGAAUUCAUAACACAGCAUGAUGGCUUAGGUGGACGUGAUAUUGGUCUGUCUGGGAACAUCCCACUGUGUCUCCUUGAAUAUAAGUGAUCACACUGCAGCACAGGGACUAUUCAAAAGGAUGCAGACAAAUUGGAAAGGACUUCACAGAUGUGAAAGGAAAUAUAUGAGGCCAGAUGUUGAUUAAGGAGUGUUGUGCUUUUGUUGGCUCGCUUUAGAAAUUAAAUCCAUACACAUACAGCAUAAAUACAUAAACACAAGGGGGAAAGAAUUCUUGUUUGCUGAAAUACAGGAAAGUACAGUGGAAAGUGCAUUAGAAGGGAGGUAAGAUAAGAGGAACAGCAGGGAAUAUCUCUAACACUAGAAGAGUCUUGUGGAUCAGAUGAAAGGAUCUUUUUCACCUGAAGUAUUUAGAACACACUUGUAUGGAGGGAGGUAGUCUCACACUGCUGUGGUUUCAUGAAGGAGAGAGUAUGGGAAUUUUGGACCAACAUUCUAUUCAAUAUAAGAAUGGUGCUAUUGGAUAUGGGCAUCAUUCAGGGAACUGGGCAUUGUUCUGAGGCAGACUCGGAACAACUUUGCUACAAGUUGAAAUUCUCUCACCCUUGUUUAUCCAUCCUUGUGUGACAUUGAAUCAGUUGUCAGUGUGAAAACAGCAGAUCCAUCAGUUAUUAUGGAUUCUUUUC
rnacentral:lncRNA from 13 species